CAUGGAGGGUGAGCAUCCCGUUCAUGGUUAAUUCUAAGAUGCUUUAUGAUGCGUUUUCGAAGAGUCGAGUUGUUUGGGAUUGCAGCUCAAAAUGGGAGGUAAAUCUCUCCUAAGGCUAAAUAUCGGCGAGAGACCGAUAGCGAACAAGUACCGUGAGGGAAAGAUGAAAAGAACUUUGAAAAGAGAGUAAAAUAGUACGUGAAAUUGUUGAAAGGGAAACGAUUGAAGUCAGUCGUACCGACGAGAAAUCAACUUAUCGUGUGCGAACUUGUGGACGUGCGUGAGUUUCGGCCUCGCUGUUUGCAUGUUUGUGCGUUUUGGGUGUACUUUUUCGUAUGGUAGGCCAACGUCAGUUUCGAUUAUCAUAAAAUGACCGGCGGAAUGUAGCUUCGAUUUCGGUUGAAGUGUUAUAGCCUCUGGUAGAUGUGGUGAUUGAGACUGAGGAUUGCAACGAAUACCCUUUGGGCUAUCCGUCUGGCCUCUGAAAGUUGCUCAGGUGCCGAAAGCGUGCUUACGGUCAUCUAAGAUAACGUUCAACAGGUUAGAACGUGAUUACAUUCGUUAAGGAUGUUGACGUAAUGG
rnacentral:rRNA from 1 species